rnacentral:rRNA from 1 species
UACAGAGGGUGCGAGCGUUGUUCGGAAUUAUUGGGCGUAAAGGGCGCGUAGGCGGUCGUGACAAGUCACUUGUGAAAUCUCCGGGCUUAACUCGGAACGGUCAAGUGAUACUGUCGGACUAGAGUACAGAAGGGGCAACUGGAAUUCUCGGUGUAGCGGUGAAAUGCGUAGAUAUCGAGAGGAACACCUGCGGCGAAGGCGGGUUGCUGGGCUGAUACUGACGCUGAUGCGCGAAAGCCAGGGGAGCGAACGGG